GCAAAGAAAGAUCCGCAGAGCUGAGCGUCGCUCUCUGCGUCACAGAUGUGAAAGUGAAAGUAAGUUGUUGGGAGAGGCGCAGAGACGGAGACACGCAGAGGAUGAACUGUCAGUGAACGCCGGUCUUCAGUGUCCUACAGGGAUUCCUGUUGAUAUAGUUGAGCGAUGCAGUCCUGUAGCUCUGCUCACUGUGUCCUGAUCUUACUGAUCUUCACAUUCACUGCUGUGUAUGUGUCAGCUGUUCCCCCAGUGAAGGUGAAGCUUAAUGAGACGGCUACUCUGCCCUGCUAUGAGAGCUGUGCUGGUGUUGUCAGAUGGACUGUAUCCCAUAAACCCAGAGAUGUUCUAGCUGAGUGUGAUCAGACUUCAUGCAGAUCAGUGAAGGAGGGAUAUCAGAUGAUCCAUGAUCAGUACCUGAAGGGGAAUCUGUCUCUCAUCAUCACUAAUGCUGACCUCAGUAAGAGCAGUACAUACACGUGUGAGUGCGGCAAAUCAGAGAUCUGUGAUGUGUACCUUCAGGUUGAGGAGAAAGGAACUGAAAACAGCAGAAACAGUGAGGGAAUGUCCCAUGGUAAG
ensembl:lncRNA